AGCCUUUAGCAGCUGACGAAACACACGCUCAGCACAGCCCGGCAGUCCUCACCUUCACAGGAAUUUAUGGCACUUUUAUGGCUUUUCCUUUGUACCUUCGCCUCGUAAAUCACUUCGAAGCCCAGCACGCUCCACUGCGAAGCACUGCUUUUUCUGCUACGGGCAAAGCUUGCUUCCACCAAAGACAAUCUCUCCCCCUCCAGCAGAUUAAGCACGGCUCACUGGAACGGCUUCCUUCUCACAGCUCACAGCUCAGCUCACCACUCAGCUCCCAGACCUCUGGCACCACACAGACUGGUCAGUAUACUGGGUACACUGGAAACUAGUCUGGUUCUGGCACAGUCGCAGGUUCUGGAGUAGGCUAUGGUGCUGAUCCAGCUGGUCCUUCUGGAUUCUUCUGAACACUGGCGCAGGUCUGGGCCCAUAAUCACUGUCAAAGUGUGCAGUUUGGAUAAACACACAUGCAGGGGAAGAUCAACGAAGAAUCACUGGCACCAAUAAAGAGGCUGAAGCCUGUUUGACUAUCUACAAAAGGUUUACUAACAAACGGAAAAUUCUCAAGAUGAUAUAUACAGACAGAGUGCAGAGAGGAGAGAGCAGAGGGCAGAGAGAAGAACAGAUAACACAGGGAGCUGUUUAUAAUCACCUCUGCUGUCUGAUGCAAUACACAGUUAACACUUUACACACUAGCAUAGUGGACAGCAGACAGCAUGAUGCAAUCUACAGCUCACAUUGCAACACUAUAACUCAAUUACAUUUAAACAACUCUAUAUACAAUCAUUCCCACUCCAACACUUAUACCUCCAACCCAAUUCAGAAGCAAUUCCCACAUUCUCUCUGGGUUUGGUGGAGGCUCAAAACAAUCAUUUAUGGCAGAAGUUAAAACAUUUUCCAUGUUUUAUCCUCUUGGGCAUGCCAUCACUGCAGCACUGUAAAUGAGGUAAUACUGCCAACUAGGCACUUACAACUCUAGCCUGAUGCAAAAGCACUCCCCACAUUCUCUCUAAGAUUGUUGGAGGCUCACAGUUAUUGCUUAUUAGGACUGUGCAAAAAGUCAUUUGCACCGAAUAUGUUGGAUCUAUUUCAUAAGAUUCGUACAUAUAACGCGAUAUUAAGAAACACAGGUGGUGCCCAUGCAAAAAAACACAUUUCAAAACUGUCAAAGGUCAGACGCCAGCCAGUAAGAUAAAUAUAGUUUAUUCAAAAACAGGAGUCAAAUACAGGAAACCCAAUGGCGCCCAACAACACCUUGCCACAUGCAAGGGACAAUGGCCACAAAACCCCAAUUUAUUUAGGUUUCCUUGGAUAUCCAAACAACCAACGCCUUAGGAUCAGGUGUCCCAAACUCCUCAUCAGAAUCCGAGCUCCAAACAGCCAACACCUUUGGAUCAGGCGUCCCAAGUUCCUCAUCAGAGUCAAAAUCACUCUGUCUAUGCCCAACCCUGUCCACACCUGUGGAAUUGCCCUCAUUCCUCCAGGCAGACCAUGUGGGGUCUGCUUCUGAAGAAACCCAAGCCUCUCCUGCAUCCUCAGCAUCCAUGGGCCCAGUCAAUGCCAACCCCUUCCGCCGCCACCGGGUCCUCCACAGUCAUUUCCACCUCAGGAUUCCCUUCCAACUCCCCAAAUGAAUCCUCAUCUGAAGUUUCCUCAUCUAUCUCCCUGACCCUCUUCCUAUGUAAAUCUUCCAGUGAGCCCUCCUCGUGAGGAUUAUUCCUUCCCCUCCUGAUCCUACCAUUAUCACACACAGCCUCAGAAGACUCAUUCACAACAAAAACACUGGCCUAUGAUUUUUCUGAAGAGUCUUGUAAGGGGCUCCAGGUCUCUGUCGCGAGCACUGCUUCUCCCUCAAAGGGGUUUGGUUCCCCCAAAAGGUCAAACAAUUUACAAUUAGGGGUCAAGCUUAAAUUGUUCAUAAAAAUACACAACCAUUUAAUAAUUGCUUCCCAUUUAAAAAAUUAUCUUCAGCUCCUGGGAGGUUUAUAGCCACUUGAACUUUUAAUGCCAAGUGGCUAAUUGCUCAGUGUCUCCUAUAUCACCUCCUGAAACAGAUGUUAAAUAAAAUCAUUCCUCAUUCCCUAAGAGAAAUCAGAUGUGGAUCACCAUAUUGUUUCUUUAAUAAUUCUGUACUGUGGAAAUAUGGGUUUAUGUGAACAAUAUGGAGGAAUAGAUUAAUAUAGAAUGAUUUCCUGAAUAAAGAUUUAUACCCAGUUGUAUGGCAAACUGGCUGUAUUUCACAGUUUCAUUAACAAGGAGGAAAUGCUUCAUUGAUUACAGACACACUUUCUUCUCUUGCAAUACUAAUCAAUAUGUAAGCAAAUGUAAAUGUAAAAUUACAACAUUGUGGGAUUAUGGGUCACACAGCAACAAAAAAUAAAUAAACUGGAACCUAAUGUACAUCUAAUUCAGAAAUGCAUUUUACCAGCCAUAAGCACCAAGCAGCUGAGUUACUUCUAUGAGCAUCAGGACUACUUGUGUUAUUUCAUCGGAGGUGGGCUGCAGUUAUAAAUAAAGUAAGUAAUUCUCAACACUUUGUAUUCUAUUUAGCCUUGUGUGGGCUAUGGCAUUUCUCUCUGUGACUCAGAACAUUGCUAUUUGUCUGAGAAAUGCUUAUAGGUGAAGUUAAUGUUUGUUGCAAUGAUGUGGAGGCAUUAAAACUUUCAACAAUGAGAGUUUUUUUCUGGAAUGAUGGUCUUAUCUUAUAAUCUCCUAUGUCAGCCUAAUAUAUAUUGCACAGAUAUAUUUAAGAUGUUUGAAUUAAUUGGCCAAAGUAUCUAGGAGCAAAAUCAUUUGGGAUUUCUUACACAGACUCCAGUUUGAAUAUCUAGAUUAUUAAAUGUUCAAGUAACAGAUCUGUCUCAUUUAGUAUUACUUCAUACAUUUUAUAUAAAACAUCACUUGCAUUGAUGUUGACCCAGAUAAUAUCCAAGGGAUUUUUUUCUAGAGGCUUUCAGAAUUAACAGAACUAUGAAAAAACAGACCAGGAGAAGGAAAGUACCAUUUAAAAUAUUCGACAAGACACAAAACAGCAUGUGACACAAUCAUCAGUUUCAGUAGGAAAAAAUAAGACGAAAUUUUGAAGAUAAACACCAAAAAAUCAAUAACAUACAGAGACAAGAGAAUUAUUAUAAUGAAGGAAAUAUCACAAAAAAGCCUUGACAAAAGAAGAAAAUAUUAUUUUUAAUGGAAGAAUUAACAAAGAAAAAAAAAUCUGCUUUAGGUGGGACAAAAUAGAAGGAAUCACAUUUACAUGGAAUGACAAGAGAUAUUGGCUAAACCAGAGGAAAAGGCCAAAACCUUUUAUAUGGAACAUAUCAAAGGGAAACCCAAAAACAUUUCCAAGAGAAA
ensembl:lncRNA